rnacentral:rRNA from 1 species
UAGGGAAUAUUGCAAAAUGGGCGAAAGCCCGAUGCAGCAACGCCGCGUGGGCGAUGAAGGCCUUCGGGUCGUAAAGCCCUUUUUGAGGGGAUGAGGAAGGACAGUACCCUCAGAAUAAGCCUCGGCUAACUACGUGCCAGCAGCCGCGGUAAAACGUAGGAGGCGAGCGUUAUCCGGAUUUACUGGGCGUAAAGCGCGUGCAGGCGGAUUGGAGAGUUGGAUGUGAAAGCUCCCGGCUUAACUGGGAGAGGUCGUUCAAUACUUCCAGUCUUGAGUGCAGUAGAGGGAAGUGGAAUUCCGGGUGUAGUGGUGAGAUGCGUAGAUAUCCGGAGGAACACCAGUGGCGAGAGCGGCUUCCUGGACUGUAACUGACGCUCAGACGCGAAAGCUAGGGUAGCAAACG